GCAGGCGUAGUUUAGUGGUAAAACUCCAGCUUCCCAAGCUGGCCUUGUGGGUUCGAUUCCCAUCGCCUGCUCCA
rnacentral:tRNA from 6 species